rnacentral:lncRNA from 1 species
CUGCAGGUGAUUCAUUCUGAUGUGGUUUGAUUCUGACAGGUGAUUCAUUCUGAUGCGGUUUGAUUCUGACAGGUGAUUCAUUCUGAUGUGGUUUGAUUCUGACAGGUGAUUCAUUCUGAUGGGGUUUGAUUCUGACAGGUGAUUCAUUCUGAUGGGGUUUGAUUCUGACAGGUGAUUCAUUCUGAUGUGGUUUGAUUCUGACAGGUGAUUCAUUCUGAUGCGGUUUGAUUCUGACAGGUGAUUCAUUCUGAUGCGGUUUGAUUCUGACAGGUGAUUCAUUCUGAUGUGGUUUGAUUCUGACAGGUGAUUCAUUCUGAUGGGGUUUGAUUCUGACAGGUGAUUCAUUCUGAUGUGGUUUGAUUCUGACAGGUGAUUCAUUCUGAUGUGGUUUGAUUCUGACAGGUGAUUCAUUCUGAUGCGGUUUGAUUCUGACAGGUGAUUCAUUCUGAUGUGGUUUGAUUCUGACAGGUGAUUCAUUCUGAUGUGGUUUGAUUCUGACAGGUGAUUCAUUCUGAUGUGGUUUGAUUCUGACAGGUGAUUCAUUCUGAUGUGGUUUGAUUCUGACAGGUGAUUCAUUCUGAUGUGGUUUGAUUCUGACAGGUGAUUCAUUCUGAUGGGGUUUGAUUCUGACAGGUGAUUCAUUCUGAAGCGGUUUGAUUCUGACAGGUGAUUCAUUCUGAUGUGGUUUGAUGUUCUCAACACCUGGGGACAUGGUACUGUGUCCCAAAUAGCACCAUAGUCCCCUCGUAGUGCACUACAUUUGACCAGAGCCCUAUGGGAAAUACAAAGGGAAUAGGGUACCAUUUGGGACUCCUGUAGUCAGUAGUCUCCUGUAGUCAGUAGCCACCUGUAGUCAGUAGUCUCCUGUAGUCAGUAGCCACCUGUAGUCAGUAGUCUCCUGCAGUCAGUAGCCACCUGUAGUCAGUAGUCUCCUGCAGUCAGGACAACCAACAGGUGAAUAUUAUUAUUCAGACCUGGACAGACGUUAACCUGUCCUCUCCACAUCACCACCUGAAGGACAGGACAACCAACAGGUGAAUAUUAUUAUUCAGA